CCAUUCACCUCUCCCCGAGGGCUGACGGCUACUUGCAGGGAAUGUUGGGAAAAAUUCAAGUGACAGGUUAUGCAAGGGCUGGUGACUACCUGAUGGACGAAAGACUCUGUGUGUGUGUGUGUGUGUGUGUGUGUGUGUGUGUGUGUGUGUGUGUGUGUGUGUGUGAGGGGGGUGUUUGAACAGUCCAGGAGAGGGUACUUUGCAGGCAAGGUGCAAGUGCUGUGAGUUACAACAUAAAGGGGCCUUGUUACACCAUGGUGGUGGAGGCAGAAAUCAGUGUAAGCUACUUGUCCCUGGAGUUCUGCCAAAAGGCUUCAUUUCCUGACCUCUAAACCCUUUGAAGUCCGAAUGCCCCGCCCCCCAUCACAGUUAUAAACAGCGAGGCUCCAGGGCCAGGGCCUUCCCAGCCACACCUGCUAGUAUACAGAUCUGUGUCCCCAGGAGGCAGCUUCCUGUACCCUGUACUGCCCAGCAGCUGCUUUGGUUAACAGAUCCCAGCUCUUCUUCAGCGUCAACAAGGUUUCCCAUGUGCGCCAAGGGUAGCAAUGUCCCUGCCUUAUCAGCCUAGCAACGAGAAGGCCAGUUUCCAGGAAAGCGGCCACCUGAUCCAGCCUGGUGAAACCCAUUCGCAGCCCAGCCACUGCUCUGGCCUUCACAUCCCAGCACUCAACAGCAGGGCCACAUGACAGCGUUUUCAGUUGGCUAGCCCUCCUUCUCCCCGGCAGCCGGGCUGUGGUUUGUGAAUGACGAGGAACCUAAAGCCAGAGGAGAAGCAGAAGUGGAGCUUGAGACUGUCUUCUUCCAUAUUCUCAGGGAGUGCAGCUUCACACCCCUGCAGCUCCACACUGUCCCUGGAGUGGGGGAUGGGCAGGGCGAGCAUGUGCUGGGACAGGGCAUGAGGGUGAUGAGGAGCCUUAAAGUCCAGGAACUUUGCCUCUCCAGCUCAGUCUUGGUUCCCCCCACCCUCUUGCCCUAUCUACCAUGCACUCAUACAACAUCUCCCUGGUCCCUUCCAACACUAUUGGCUUUUCCUUCGGGGCCAGUGUAAAACCUUCACUGACUUUUACCAGGGCAGGAGAGGGG
rnacentral:lncRNA from 1 species